rnacentral:rRNA from 1 species
UUUUUGAAAAUAAUUUAAAGUCUAAUCUGCCCACUGAUAUUAUAUUGAAGGGCUGCAGUAUUUUGACUGUACAAAGGUAGCAUAAUCAUUAGUCUCUUAAUUGGUGACUUGUAUGAAGGAUUUGAUGAAAUAUAAACUGUCUCAUUUUAAUUUAUUGAAUUUAAUUUUUUAGUUAAAAAGCUAAAAUUUAAUUAAAAGACNNNNNNNNNNNNNNNNNNNNAAUAAUUUAAUUAAUUAUUAAUUUAUAUAAUUUUUUUUUUAUUAAUUAAUUAAAUUAUUUUGUUGGGGUGAUAGAAAAAUUGAAUUAACUUUUUAUAUAAAUUAACAUUAAUUUAUGAAUAAAUGAUCCGUAAUUUACGAUUAUAAGAAAAAAUUACCUUAGGGAUAACAGCGUAAUUUUUUUUUUUAGUUCAAAUAAGAAAAAGAGUUUGCGACCUCGAUGUUGGAUUAAGAUAAAAUUUAAAUGCAAAAGUUUAAAAUUUUU